rnacentral:rRNA from 1 species
AAAUCAACUUUAUAACGGCGUAAAGGGUGGUAACAUGCUAUCAAAGUAACUAAGAUCAAAAAGCAACUGAGCCGUAACAAGCCCAAGAUGCCCAUAAGACCAACUACCGAAAGAGAUCUUAGACUAACGAUUAAUUGAAAUCCACGAAAGCCAGGGCCCAAACUGGGAUUAGAUACCCCACUAUGCCUGGCCCUAAAUAUUGAUGCUUUAUCCUACUUGAGCAUCCGCCCGAGAACUACGAGCACAAACGCUUAAAACUCUAAGGACUUGGCGGUGCUCCAAACCCACCUAGAGGAGCCUGUUCUAUAAUCGAUAAUCCACGAUUCACCUAACCAUUUCUUGCAAAAUCAGCCUAUAUACCGCCGUCGCCAGCCCACCCCCCCUGAAGGCCUAACA